GUUUGAUCCUGGCUCAGAUUGAACGCUGGCGGCAUGCCUUACACAUGCAAGUCGAACGGUAACGGGCCUUCGGGUGCCGACGAGUGGCGAACGGGUGAGUAAUGUAUCGGAACGUACCUUUCAGUGGGGGAUAACGUAGCGAAAGUUACGCUAAUACCGCAUAUUCUGUGCGCAGGAAAGCAGGGGAUCGCAAGACCUUGCGCUGAUUGAGCGGCCGAUAUCAGAUUAGCUAGUUGGUGAGGUAAAAGGCUCACCAAGGCGACGAUCUGUAGCGGGUCUGAGAGGAUGAUCCGCCACACUGGAACUGAGACACGGUCCAGACUCCUACGGGAGGCAGCAGUGGGGAAUUUUGGACAAUGGGGGCAACCCUGAUCCAGCCAUGCCGCGUGAGUGAAGAAGGCCUCGG
rnacentral:rRNA from 1 species